rnacentral:rRNA from 1 species
UAGUCAUAUGCUUGUCUCAAAGAUUAAGCCAUGCAUGUCUAAGUACAUACUGUUUAUAAAGUGAAACCGCGAAUGGCUCAUUAAAUCAGUUACGGUUCCUCGGAUAUUCUUUUUUACAUGGAUAACUGUGGUAAUUCUAGAGCUAAUACAUGAACAAGUGUUCCAACCUCAGCUUGCUGACGGAAGGAUCGCAUUUAUUAGUACAAGACCAAUGAUUCUUAUUCACCUAGAACCCUGUUCAGUGAUUUCGGUCGCUGUCUAAGGACUAGCAGUGGGGAUCUUAGCAACUUCGGUUGCAUUUCUUGUGAUGACUCUGAAUAACUGAGCAAAUCGUAUGGCCUCUGAGCCGACGAUGUAUCCCUCAAGCAACUGCCUUAUCAACUGUCGAUGGUAGGUUAUGCGCCUACCAUGGUUGUAACGGGUAACGGGGAAUUAGGGUUCGAUUCCGGAGAGGGAGCCUGAGAAACGGCUACCACAUCUAAGGAAGGCAGCAGGCGCGCAAAUUACACAAUCCCAGUACGGGGAUGUAGUGACGAAAAAUAACAAUACGGGACUCUAUUGAGGCCCCGUAAUUGGAAUGAGUACAAUUUAAAUCCUUUAACGAGGAUCUAUUGGAGGGCAAGUCUGGUGCCAGCAGCCGCGGUAAUUCCAGCUCCAAUAGCGUAUAUUA